CUUAUCCUGGGGAUUGGCUUUGGGCUCUUCCUGCGCAGCUUAGGUGGAAGGCGAAGAACGCCUCCUUCCGGGGGGGCGUGAGCCAUCAGUGAGAUACCACUCUGGAAGAGCUAGAAUUCUAACCUUGUGUCAGGACCUACGGGCCAAGGGACAGUCUCAGGUAGACUGUUUCUAUGGGGCGUACGCCUCCCAAAGGGUAACGGAGGCGUGCAAAGGUUUCCUCGGGCCGGACGGAAAUUGGCCCUCGAGUGCAAAGGCAAAAGGGAGCUUGACUGCAACACCCACCCGUCGAGCAGGGACAAAAGUCGGCCUUAGUGAUCCGACGGUGCCGAGUGAAAGGGCCCUCUCUCAGGGAUAAAAUUUACUCUGGGGAUAAGGGCUAAA
rnacentral:rRNA from 1 species